CGUUUGUUUGCAGACAUGAUCUGAUCAAGAAGCUUCAUGCACUGAAGGACUCAAACCCUGAGCUGGCACAGCUUCUCCUCGAGCAGAUAUAUGACAACGCCAUGAUCACCGCUGGUCUGAACGAAGACCCUCGUCCGAUGAUCUCGCGGCUGAAUCAGCUCCUCACUCGAGCUCUGGAGAAGCACUGACACCUGUGCUGGAGUUCAGCCUGACGGACUUGUUUUGCCUUUAUUAGAGCCAUGCAUGGAUGCACAAAGGGGGCGUCCCGUGCAUCGGAGGUCAUCAUCGCACACUAAACACAAACAAACGUUGUUUAUAUGAAGACUUGAGAAUCUUUGUGCAGGUGUGACAUUGUCGUUUUAGUGGGAGUCGUGUUUUAAGCUGAUACGAUUGAGAUUUGUCUGUCCAUCCAACGGUUGUCAGAUUGGAGAAAAAAAA